rnacentral:rRNA from 1 species
GACGAACGCUGGCGGCGUGCUUAACACAUGCAAGUCGAACGUGAUUUUUGUGGAAAUUCUUUCGGGAAUGGAGAUGAAAUGAAAGUGGCGAACGGGUGAGUAACACGUGAGCAACCUACCUUACACAGGGGGAUAGCCGCUUGAAACGACGAUUAAUACCGCAUGAGACCACAGAAUCGCAUGAUAUAGGGGUCAAAGAUCUAUCGGUGUAAGAAGGGCUCGCGUCUGAUGAGCGAGUUGGAAAGGUAAAGGCUUACCAAGGCAACGAUCAAUAGCCGGUCUGAGAGGGUGAUCGGCCACACUGGAACUGAGACACGGUCCAGACUCCUACGGGAGGCAGCAGUAGGGAAUCUUCCGCAAUGGGCGAAAGCCUGACGGAGCAACGCCGCGUGAGUGAUGAAGGUCUUCGGAUCGUAAAACUCUGUUAUUAGGGAAGAACAUAUGUGUAAGUAACUGUGCACAUCUUGACGGUACCUAAUCAGAAAGCCACGGCUAACUACGUG